CCGUUUCAUACUGCCACUGCCUACUGCAGAGCUCGCUGAUCUGUACCUAACACCAAGGAGUUGGCACUGGCAGGUUCUGGAUGGUGGAGUUUGGAGCUACAGCCUACUGAGCAAGACCUGGGAGAGAGAAGUGGCUUUUGACCUGUUCAGUCAAAAAGACCUUGAAUGACAAGAAAAAGCUUGCUCAAAAUGAAGAGCUGAAGAAAGGCUAUGACCACCUAGGGGAGGAUUCAUCUAUUCAAUUUUCAGCGAUCUAAAACCUGGAUAUUUAAUCCAAGGUGUCCACCUGGGAUGCCUUCACAGUAAAUGGAGAUAGAUGGGUGAGUGAGACUACUGAGAUGGAUCUGCCCCUGGAACUGCUUGCUCCUCUGCUCCAUUCUUCAUGUUUUUGCAGAGGAUGG